AAUUGAUGCUGUCUGAGUAAAUUUGUUUGUUGCUGAGAUUAUAGUCAUCUGACAAUAGGUGUGAAAGCCGUGGAUGAGUAAAAUUUAAAGAGUGGCUAGCAACAUUUUAUGUACUUAAUUAUAAUAUGAAUUUUAAAAAAUCACUUAGUGUAUGCUUUUUCUUUUUCUUUUUUUUCUUGCGAUGGAGUCUCGCCUUGUCACCCAGGCUAGAGUGCAGUGGCGCAAUCUUGGCUCACUGCAACUUCUGCCUCCUGGGUUCAAGCGAUCCUCCCACCUCAGCCUCCCAAGUAGCUGGGACUACAGGCAUGAGCCACCAUACCUGGCUAAUUUUUGUAUUUUUUGGUAAACAUAGGGUUUCAGCAUGUUGGCCGGGCUAGUCUCCAACUCUUGAUCUCAAGUGAUUUGCCUGCCAUAGCCUCCCAAAAGUGCUGGGAUUACAGGUGUGAGCCAUCGCACCCUGCCAAAUGUUUAAUACUGUAAUCCACUGCUGCUAUCUCAAUUGUUCUAUACGUUUUUCUUAUACUGUUUUUUAAAAUUGUUCUUUUUUUUUUUUGAGAGGCAGUCUCAGUCUGUUUCUUAAGCUGGAGUGCAGUGGCGAGAUCGCAGCUCACUGCAACCUCUGCCUCCCAUGUUCAAGCAAUCCUCCCACGUCAGCCUCCCGAGCAGCUGGGACUACAGGUGUGUGCCACCACCAUGUCUGGCUAAUUUUUGUAUUUUUAGUAGAGAUGGGGUUUCGCCAUGUUGGCCAGGCUGGUCUCGAACUCCUGACCUCAGGUAAUCCACCUGCCUUGGCCCCCCAAAGUGCUGUGAUUACAGGUGUGAACCACCACACCGGCCUUAACUGUUCAAAUUUUUAAACAGACUUUUUUUUUUAGGGCAGUUUUAGGUUCACAGCCAAAUUGCUGGAAUGUACAGAGUAUUCCCAACAAACCCCCUGGACUCACUCCUCAGUAACACUCCCGUCCCCCAGGAAGACUUCCCCUCCCCAGUCACACAUGCCUCCCACAGUAAUGCCUCCCCUCAGUCACCUUCCAGAGUGGUACAUUUGUUUGUUUUGUUGUUGUUUUUUUAUGACAGAGUCUCGCUCUGUCACCCGGGCUGGAGCACAGUAGCAUGAUCUCAGCUCACUGCAACCUCCGCUCCCCCGGGUUCAAGCAGUUCUCCCACCUCAGCCUCCCAAGCUGGGAUUACAAGCAUCCGCCACGACACCUGGGUAAUUUUUUGUAUUUUUGGUAGAGACGGGGUUUCACCAUGUUGGUCAGGCUGGUCUCGAACUCCUGAUUUCAGGUGAUCUGCCCACCUCAGCCUCCCAAAGUGCUGGGAUUACAGGUUUGAGCCACCACGCCCGGCCCUAGAGUGCUAUAUUUCUAAACCAACAUCACAACAUUAUCACUCAAAGUCCAUAUUCGUGUAUUGUUUCCUUGUAUAUUUUUCAGCAUGGUAAAUCCCAAAUGUUCUAUUCAUGUAAUGCUCUUGGUUUAAACUCUAAGUUAGAUUUAGCAUAUUGUCCUUUAAUAUUCCUAAUUUUGGCUUUUCUUGUUUGGCCAGGGUGAGCUCUAAGUGCUGAUUUACUUUAAAUCCUGAUGAUAAUCAGCAUGCUUUAUUUAUUUAUUUAUAUUUUUUGUUUGUGACAGGGUCUCGCUCUGUCACCCAGGCUGGCUGGCGUUCAGUUUCAUGAUCGUGGAGGUUGCAGUGAGCUGAGAUCGUGGCAUGUUUUGUUUUUUUAAGAGACAGGGUCUCGCUCUGUCACCAAGGCUGAGGUGCAGUGGCACCGUCAUGGCUCAUUGCAGCCUCAAACUCCUGGGCUCAAGCAAUCCUCCCACCUCAGCCUCCUAAGUAACUGGGACUACAGGCACAUGCCACCCUGCCCAGCUAAUUUCUUUUUCUGUUUGUUUGUUUUUUUUUCUCCGUAGAGAUAGAGCCUCACUAUGUUGUCCAGGAUGCUGUCAAACUCCUAGGCUCUAGCAGUCCUCCCACCUCGGCCUCCCAAAGUGCUGAGAUUACAGGCGUGGGCCACCAUGCCCUGCCUCAUCCCAUUGUUUCUUUUUCCUUCACUUAGUACCUCAGUUGGGGCCUAUUGGGUUUUGUUUUGUUUUUAACUUGGUAGAUUGUAUGAAAACUUCAUUCCAAGGCAUUCUGACUUCAUUAGGACACUGAAGUUUCCCAUGAACUUUUAAUAUUGCAUAUUGUGCUUUGGCUAUUGAGAGUGUGGUGUCAGUUCACAAUAGGACAAAUGCAGAAAUUGAGAGUAAACAGAAACAUUUAUAGGUCAUUUGCUAUUGAUUACGAACGUCUAAGUGCAUUUCAGUGUUUUAUAUUUUACAAAUGUGUUGGAAUUUUACUUUACUUAUUCUUUUGAGACAGGUUCUCGCUCUGUGGCCUAGGCUGGAGUGCAGUGGUACGAUCAUGGCUCACUGCAGGCUUGACUUCCCAGCUCAAGCGAUCCUCCUGCCCCAGCCUCCUGAGUAGUUGACACUACAGGCAUGUGUCACUACACCCAGCUACAAUUUAAAUUUUUAGUAGAGACAAGGUCUCACUAUGUUUUCCAGGCUGGUCUUAAACUUUUGGGCUCAAGCGAUCCUCCCAUCUUAGCCUCCCAAAGUGCUGGGAUUACAGUUGUGAGCCACCACUCCCAGUGUGUUGGAAUG
rnacentral:lncRNA from 1 species